AACGAACGCUGGCGGCAGGCCUAACACAUGCAAGUCGAACGGGAAGCCACCUUCGGGUGGUGGACAGUGGCAGACGGGUGAGUAACGCGUGGGAACGUGCCUUUCGGUUCGGAAUAACCCAGGGAAACUUGGGCUAAUACCGGAUACGCCCUUCGGGGGAAAGAUUCAUUGCCGAAAGAUCGGCCCGCGUCGGAUUAGCUAGUUGGUGGGGUAAUGGCUCACCAAGGCGACGAUCCGUAGCCGGUCUGAGAGGAUGACCAGCCACACUGGGACUGAGACACGGCCCAGACUCCUACGGGAGGCAGCAGUGGGGAAUAUUGCACAAUGGGGGAAACCCUGAUGCAGCGACGCCGAGUGAGGGAAGAAGGUCUUCGGAUUGUAAACCUCUGUCCUUGGUGAAGAAAUUGACGGUAACCAAGGAGGAAGCUACGGCUAACUACGUGCCAGCCGCCGCCGUAA
rnacentral:rRNA from 1 species